rnacentral:rRNA from 1 species
UCCGCCUAUGGUGAGUACUGCUGCGGCCUACCUUUCUGCCAGGGACGGGCUCUUAGGCUUAAUUGUCUGGGACUCGGAGCUGGCGUUGUCACUUUGAGAAAAUUAGAGUGUUCAAAGCAAGCUUACGCUCUGAAUACUUUAGCAUGGAAUGACACGAUAGGACUCUGGCCUAUCUUGUUGGUCUGUAGGACCGGAGUAAUGAUUAAGAGGGACAGUCGGGGGCAUUCGUAUUUCAUUGUCAGAGGUGAAAUUCUUGGAUUUAUGAAAGACGAACUACUGCGAAAGCAUUUGCCAAGGAUGUUUUCAUUAAUCAAGAACGAAAGUUGGGGGCUCGAAGACGAUUAGAUACCGUCGUAGUCUCAACCAUAAACGAUGCCGACUAGGGA